GGGCUGAGACAGUUAGCAGAACAGAUAGUUUAUAAGUGUGUGUGCCAUGUCAAAAGGUAAAUGCUUGUAAAAAUACCACGGGACCUGGCAAAAGACCAAGGGGAGACAGACCUGGGGUAUAUUGGGAAAUGGACUUACAGAGAUCAAGCCAGGUAAAUAUGGUUACAAGUAUCUCCCAGUUUUUGUAGACACCCUCUCUGGAUGGGAGAAGCAUUCCCAGCAAAGCAGGAAACAGCCACCGUCGUGGUCAAGAAAAUCCUGGAAGAAAUCUUCCCAUGCUUCGGGGUACCCAAGGUAAUUGGGUCCGACAAUGGGCCCACCUUCGUUGCCAAGGUUAAAAGGACUCCAAGCCGUACAGAAAGAAGUUUGGACACAGCUGGCAGCUGCUUAUGAGCCUGGGACCCCCAAAGUUUCUCACCAGUUCCAGGUUGGGGGCACUGUAUGGUGACACCACUCCCAAUCUCUGGAACCCUUUUGGAAGGGACCUUGCCUGAUGCUCCUGAUGACACCAAUGGCUGUGAAGGUAGACGGGAUCUCCACUUGGAGCCUGCACCACCAGAGGACCAAGGAUCAAAAGAUGCCACCUGGAAAGUCCAGGGUUCCAAGGAGCACCCCUUAAGACUGAAAAUUGUUCGGACGUUCUAAGUGUUGUAAGAUGAAAACUCUCUUGCUUUU